rnacentral:lncRNA from 1 species
GAGGAGCACCUGUAGCCACAGCAACCACGACCAGGGGGUGGGGGGAUGGCGUGGAUACUCUGAGCAUUUCCUGUUGGAAGGAGAAGCUGCCUUAGUCCCUCCCCUGGGCACAGCGCAUUGGUUGACCUUCAGAAGGCAGAACACAGCGUGGCAGCACUUCCUGUCCAAGGUCUCAGCCAUCCAGUAUUUACCCUUCAGGAAGAAAAGCCUGUUCAACAAACAUUUGUAUAAGACUGGACAUAAUUCUGUUCACAAUACUCCAGAUCCUGAAGCAGCCCAGAUGUCUAUUAAAAGAAGAAUAAACAACUAUGAUAAAUGUGCAGGACGGAACACAGCCCAUAAUUAAAAAGAGCGAAGUUCUGACAUUCAAAACGACAUGGACAUGCUUUCAAUGGAAUAUGGAAAUCAGAGAUGCUCAAAUUCAGCGGUCUUGGGACCUCUUUAUAUUCUAAAGUAUUGAGAACCCACGAGAUUACUAACAUGUAUUACAUUUUAUAAGAGAAGGUAAAAAUGGAAAAUUUGAGAAUAUGUGUUAAUUUACUCACUACAAAUUAACAUAUUUUUGAGAAAAUUAACUAUUUCACCAAGUUUAAAAACAACAAUGAACAAGCAUUAUGGAGCCUCUUUUCAAAGACGUUUGCAGAUCUCUUCAGUGAUCUCACAUUCCCCCUACACUCACUCUGCUGUGCUACAUUCUUGUGGGAGAUGUGUGUAAACAGCACCCUACAGAUAUGUAAUUGGAAAACGAUGGGCUAUGUUAAUAGCCAUCUAGAUAAUGAUGGCUGUUGGCUUUUGGUACAAACCAAAAGUCCACAAAUGGUGGGUUCCUAAAAGUUAGUUGUAAUGUAAAACUAGAAACCAUAUCAAUAAACGUUUGUGCUUUGUUACAUAAAAACUCAUUGUAACUAUGUUUUGGUUGGAAUGGAACUUGUAUCCAUGUGAGAAUAGAACCAUGCCUAUGUCACCAGUGGUUCCAAGUUAAGCAGAUCUUGCAAAUGUUUGUGCAGGCAUGCCUUACAUAUUACCUUUAAAGUCACAUCUGUUAAUGCCAGAGCACUUGUUCUGGGGGGCUUAGAUUUAACAUGGACACUACUGACCCUGGCUCAUCUUUCUACAAGUGACUGUUAAUGAAAAGUACAACAGAGGUGUCAUGGCCCCUUCAGCCCAGGCAGCAACAGUUGGAGCAACAAUUGCCUUCAUACCACCAAUGCUGAUGUCCUGAUGUCGUCAGCACAGUGCCUCGAGGGGAAAAGGCAUUAUUAUGAAAACUACUGUUAAACUCAAGACUCCUUUAGCAGGCUUUGGAGAUGCCCAGAGACACACAGAGCACCCUGAGGGCUGCCUUGCUGUGUUCAUUAGCUGGCUCAACAAAAGGGAAGAGAUUCUGUCCUGCUCCCUGCAGGUUCCCUAUCCACAGAUUCAACAAACCCUGCUGUAACCUUUGGAAAUAUUUG